CCCCAGCUCCGCACCAGGCAAACCUGGGCAUAUGGGCCUGCCCCUGCUGGUGAGGCGGCCACAACGGUGUGUGGGAAUGGGAUGCUCUGUGACCCAGGUGGUGUGGGCUGAGUCCCAGGAGCCAAAGGGCAGAGGCAGGAUCAGCCACGGGAUUCCAGCCUUGGAAGAAGAGACAGAGUGCAGGGCGUGAGCCUGGAGGCUGGGAGGCCCAGAAGGAGGCUGGCACAAAGGAGAGGGGACAGGCCAUGCAGUCCAAGGCAUCUCCAGGCUGCUUCUCCACACCUGCCCAGUCUUUCCCGUUUCUGCUGAGAGGGGGAAGUGGUGUCCCAUGUGGAAUGGGCAUGGAUCUGAUCAUUUGUGAGACUCAGCGCCCAUCGGGAUGUCUGGUGGCUGUGGAUUCACACUGCUAUUGGGGAUGACCUCUUGUAUAUCCUUCUGCCUGUUUCCUUCCACAGCUUGUUAUGUGAAUCUCCUAAUUUGAAAUCAUUUGCAACUCA